rnacentral:precursor_RNA from 15 species
AACAUCUUAGAUGAGAAAACCUGUUCUCUUGAGAGAUCAGAGGCGCAGAGUGCGUCAAUGUCAGUGAAGCCUGUGCCUUUUACCUCUUUAAGAGCGCAAGGUUUCAUCCUGCUCCUAAACU